rnacentral:misc_RNA from 1 species
AAAUAUUAAGUGUAUGUCAAUGCGGUGUGAGAUUGGUAACGGAAGAGAAUAAAACAAGUAAAAAUAAAACGGAAAAAUAAAGUCGUAGCAGCUGAUCAGGUUUAUUCAUAUGUAUCAGAAAUGAAGCGAAACGAAAUCAAAUGGAAGAAAAUAUGCGUAAGAUCGAUACAGUCCAGCAAUUUGAUAUCGGAUACACAUGUGAAAUACGUGCUCGUAAAGCAAAGCAAGACAAGCAACACGAAUCUUUGGAGGUGAAGAAAAUUCCGUGGAUGUUCACAGAAAGCGGAAAAUAAACUCUGCAGAUAUAAAUACUACCACGGAAGUGAUACUUUUAAAUAAAACG